rnacentral:rRNA from 1 species
UAGGGAAUAUUGCACAAUGGAGGAAACUCUGAUGCAGCGACGCCGCGUGAGUGAUGAAGGACUUCGGUUCGUAAAGCUCUGUUGCAAGGGACAAACAAAAUGAUGGUACCUUGUGAGGAAGGGUCGGCUAACUUCGUGCCAGCAGCCGCGGUAAGACGAGGGACCCUAGCGUUGUUCGGAAUCAUUGGGCGUAAAGCGGGUGCAGGUGGCUUUAUAAGUCAGAUGUGAAAGCCCUGGGCUUAACCCAGGAAGUGCAUUUGAUACUGCAAAGCUUGAGUGCUGGAGAGGUUACUGGAAUACCUGGUGUAGUGGUGAAAUACGUAGAUAUCAGGUGGAACACCGGUGGCGAAGGCGGGUAACUGGCCAGACACUGACACUCAAACCCGAAAGCGUGGGGAUCAAACA